GGGUUGUGAGGUUAAGCGACUAAGCGUACACGGUGGAUGCCCUGGCAGUCAGAGGCGAUGAAGGACGUGCUAAUCUGCGAUAAGCGUCGGUAAGGUGAUAUGAACCGUUAUAACCGGCGAUUUCCGAAUGGGGAAACCCAGUGUGUUUCGACACACUAUCAUUAACUGAAUCCAUAGGUUAAUGAGGCGAACCGGGGGAACUGAAACAUCUAAGUACCCCGAGGAAAAGAAAUCAACCGAGAUUCCCCCAGUAGCGGCGAGCGAACGGGGAGCAGCCCAGAGCCUGAAUCAGUGUGUGUGUUAGUGGAAGCGUCUGGAAAGGCGCGCGAUACAGGGUGACAGCCCCGUACACAAAAAUGCACAUGCUGUGAGCUCGAUGAGUAGGGCGGGACACGUGGUAUCCUGUCUGAAUAUGGGGGGACCAUCCUCCAAGGCUAAAUACUCCUGACUGACCGAUAGUGAACCAGUACCGUGAGGGAAAGGCGAAAAGAACCCCGGCGAGGGGAGUGAAAAAGAACCUGAAACCGUGUACGUACAAGCAGUGGGAGCACAGAGCAAUCUGUGUGACUGCGUACCUUUUGUAUAAUGGGUCAGCGACUUAUAUUCUGUAGCAAGGUUAACCGAAUAGGGGAGCCGAAGGGAAACCGAGUCUUAACUGGGCGUUAAGUUGCAGGGUAUAGACCCGAAACCCGGUGAUCUAGCCAUGGGCAGGUUGAAGGUUGGGUAACACUAACUGGAGGACCGAACCGACUAAUGUUGAAAAAUUAGCGGAUGACUUGUGGCUGGGGGUGAAAGGCCAAUCAAACCGGGAGAUAGCUGGUUCUCCCCGAAAGCUAUUUAGGUAGCGCCUCGUGAAUUCAUCUCCGGGGGUAGAGCACUGUUUCGGCAAGGGGGUCAUCCCGACUUACCAACCCGAUGCAAACUGCGAAUACCGGAGAAUGUUAUCACGGGAGACACACGGCGGGUGCUAACGUCCGUCGUGAAGAGGGAAACAACCCAGACCGCCAGCUAAGGUCCCAAAGUCAUGGUUAAGUGGGAAACGAUGUGGGAAGGCCCAGACAGCCAGGAUGUUGGCUUAGAAGCAGCCAUCAUUUAAAGAAAGCGUAAUAGCUCACUGGUCGAGUCGGCCUGCGCGGAAGAUGUAACGGGGCUAAACCAUGCACCGAAGCUGCGGCAGCGACGCUUAUGCGUUGUUGGGUAGGGGAGCGUUCUGUAAGCCUGCGAAGGUGUGCUGUGAGGCAUGCUGGAGGUAUCAGAAGUGCGAAUGCUGACAUAAGUAACGAUAAAGCGGGUGAAAAGCCCGCUCGCCGGAAGACCAAGGGUUCCUGUCCAACGUUAAUCGGGGCAGGGUGAGUCGACCCCUAAGGCGAGGCCGAAAGGCGUAGUCGAUGGGAAACAGGUUAAUAUUCCUGUACUUGGUGUUACUGCGAAGGGGGGACGGAGAAGGCUAUGUUGGCCGGGCGACGGUUGUCCCGGUUUAAGCGUGUAGGCUGGUUUUCCAGGCAAAUCCGGAAAAUCAAGGCUGAGGCGUGAUGACGAGGCACUACGGUGCUGAAGCAACAAAUGCCCUGCUUCCAGGAAAAGCCUCUAAGCAUCAGGUAACAUCAAAUCGUACCCCAAACCGACACAGGUGGUCAGGUAGAGAAUACCAAGGCGCUUGAGAGAACUCGGGUGAAGGAACUAGGCAAAAUGGUGCCGUAACUUCGGGAGAAGGCACGCUGAUAUGUAGGUGAAGUCCCUCGCGGAUGGAGCUGAAAUCAGUCGAAGAUACCAGCUGGCUGCAACUGUUUAUUAAAAACACAGCACUGUGCAAACACGAAAGUGGACGUAUACGGUGUGACGCCUGCCCGGUGCCGGAAGGUUAAUUGAUGGGGUUAGCGCAAGCGAAGCUCUUGAUCGAAGCCCCGGUAAACGGCGGCCGUAACUAUAACGGUCCUAAGGUAGCGAAAUUCCUUGUCGGGUAAGUUCCGACCUGCACGAAUGGCGUAAUGAUGGCCAGGCUGUCUCCACCCGAGACUCAGUGAAAUUGAACUCGCUGUGAAGAUGCAGUGUACCCGCGGCAAGACGGAAAGACCCCGUGAACCUUUACUAUAGCUUGACACUGAACAUUGAGCCUUGAUGUGUAGGAUAGGUGGGAGGCUUUGAAGUGUGGACGCCAGUCUGCAUGGAGCCGACCUUGAAAUACCACCCUUUAAUGUUUGAUGUUCUAACGUGGACCCGUGAUCCGGGUUGCGGACAGUGUCUGGUGGGUAGUUUGACUGGGGCGGUCUCCUCCUAAAGAGUAACGGAGGAGCACGAAGGUUGGCUAAUCCUGGUCGGACAUCAGGAGGUUAGUGCAAUGGCAUAAGCCAGCUUGACUGCGAGCGUGACGGCGCGAGCAGGUGCGAAAGCAGGUCAUAGUGAUCCGGUGGUUCUGAAUGGAAGGGCCAUCGCUCAACGGAUAAAAGGUACUCCGGGGAUAACAGGCUGAUACCGCCCAAGAGUUCAUAUCGACGGCGGUGUUUGGCACCUCGAUGUCGGCUCAUCACAUCCUGGGGCUGAAGUAGGUCCCAAGGGUAUGGCUGUUCGCCAUUUAAAGUGGUACGCGAGCUGGGUUUAGAACGUCGUGAGACAGUUCGGUCCCUAUCUGCCGUGGGCGCUGGAGAACUGAGGGGGGCUGCUCCUAGUACGAGAGGACCGGAGUGGACGCAUCACUGGUGUUCGGGUUGUCAUGCCAAUGGCACUGCCCGGUAGCUAAAUGCGGAAGAGAUAAGUGCUGAAAGCAUCUAAGCACGAAACUUGCCCCGAGAUGAGUUCUCCCUGACUCCUUGAGAGUCCUGAAGGAACGUUGAAGACGACGACGUUGAUAGGCCGGGUGUGUAAGCGCAGCGAUGCGUUGAGCUAACCGGUACUAAUGAACCGUGAGGCUUAACCUUACAACGCCGAAGCUGUU
rnacentral:rRNA from 1 species